rnacentral:rRNA from 1 species
CCUACGGGGGGCAGCAGUCGAGAAUCAUUCACAAUGGGGGAAACCCUGAUGGUGCGACGCCGCGUGGGGGAAUGAAGGUCUUCGGAUUGUAAACCCCUGUCAUGUGGGAGCAAAUUAAAAAGAUAGUACCACAAGAGGAAGAGACGGCUAACUCUGUGCCAGCAGCCGCGGUAAUACAGAGGGCUCAAGCGUUGUUCGGAAUCACUGGGCGUAAGGCGUGCGUAGGCUGUUUCGUAAGUCGUGUGUGAAAGGCGCGGGCUCAACCCGCGGACGGCACAUGAUACUGCGAGACUAGAGUAAUGGAGGGGGAACCGGAAUUCUCGGUGUAGCAGUGAAAUGCGUAGAUAUCGAGAGGAACACUCGUGGCGAAGGCGGGUUCCUGGACAUUAACUGACGCUGAGGCACGAAGGCCAGGGGAGCGAAAGGGAUUAGAUACCCCGGUAGUC